GGUCUAGUCCAUUGUCAGGGAUGCAUGUAGGCAGACGUGGUGCUGGAGAAGCAGCUGUGAGCUCUACAUCCAGAUUUUCAGGCAGUAGGAAGAGAGUGAAACACUGAGCCUGGCUUGGGCUUUUGAAAACCUCAAAGCCCACUUCCAAUGACACACUUCAUCCAACAAAGCCACGCCUCCUAAUCCUUUGCAAGUAGUGUUACUCCCUAGUAACCAAGCAUCAAAUCUAUGAGUCCAUGGGGUGCAUCUGCAUUAAAACCAUCACAGGAAACAAAGUUUAUUAAGUAUUUAGACAGAGUGUCACAUAGGAAAGGGGCAGUAGAAUCCCAAAACCUGGGUAUGAGUUUCAUGAGACAUCUCCCUGAGAGGCUUUAUAAUGGCUGCAUACAUGAUUUUGUGGCUUUCUCAGUUGCAUCCCUCAAGGGAUGUAAUUUGGCAGUCUUAAAGCAAAGUGGAAACUUUAAGUUGAAAAAUAAGUACGAUAUGUGAGCUGGUUUAUUUUCCUUUAAUUGAAAAAUUUAAAA